rnacentral:misc_RNA from 1 species
AAUGUCGUAACAAGGUUUCCGUAGGUGAACCUGCGGAAGGAUCAUUAAAAUGUAAUUGGUUAUACAUAUCCUGUAUCAACUGCACAAAGCCCAUUCCGAGUACCUUGCCUGUUGCUUCCAUGGGGCCUGACUUUGGUCACUCUUGUGAUGCCGAAUCCCAAAGAGUCCCCCGAUGGGGGGGUUAAGUCAUUGAAAAUUUCCAUGUAUUCCAAAUUUGCUUCUGUCUGAAACUGUCUAUAACAAAUUGUUAAAAC